AAUCAAUUUGUAAAGGAUCUAGCUAAAUGUCCUUUGCGAACUGUCAUAUCGUACUCGGUAUAUUUUGUAAACGGGUACAAAUUUCAUAUCGAAUAUGAUUUUAGUAGAGCUAUCAUGAACAACGGUGUGUGCAUAAAAGGAUUUAAUUACAAUAGCGAUGAGAGUGACUACUAUGAGCGAUUGAUUGAAGUUAUACCGUUGGAGUAUUCUGCAUUACCAAUUAAGAGAACCAUAAUAUUUAAGUGUGAAUGGUUUGAUCUGACACCGAACUUGGGGACUAAAGUUCAUCCUCAAUGUAAGCUUGUUGAGAUAAACUAUAAGCGUAGAUUUAAUAGAUAUGAGCCAUUUAUUUUGGCUGCUCAAGCUUGUCAAGUGUACUUUUAUCUUUACCUUAGCCUAAGGCCUGACAGAAGCGACUAAUGAGCUGGUUGCAAAUUAAACCAAGGGCUAUAGUUGAAAUUCCAAAAUCAUCUGAAACAACGCAACUAUCCCGAGUCUACUGGCCUUCCAAGAAGAUGAUAUUGAGACUCAUUAUAUUGUAAUUAAAGACGUUAUAAAAUUAGUGUUUUUGGUUGAUCCACAAGGUGAAUACUUAAAAAUUGACAGUUUUGAGGAAAAGAAAGAGGAAAAGUUAGAAUCAGACGAUGAUGAUGAUGAAGAAACUGAAGAGGAUGAUGGUUUGUAAGAUGAUACUGAUAGUGAUUAAAUAUAAUGUUUUAGACGAGGUUGAAUAUACAUUUCUACUUUCUUUUUUUAAUUUAUUAUUUUGACUUUUAAUUGUUAAUAUGAUUUUCUUUUUAUAUAUUUCGUAUGUAUGUUUGUCUCUUAUUUUAGUCAGUAGUUAGUAUGAACGGACGAAUAGGUGUACACCCUCAAGACAAGGGACAGACGGGCAGGGGCGACUCGGACGAGGGAAAAAUGGCCGAGCGCUAGGUAGGCAAGGGCGAGGCGGCGAGGGUUACAAGCACCACCACCAUUAUCUCUACCUCCUCCGCCAACUUUAUCGUCAUUUUUUGCGCGAUCCCCUUCUACAUCAUCAAUACAUGUAGCACCCUCGCUAUCGGAGACACCUACACGAUCUCCCAUAGCUUUUAAUGCGACAGUCCAAUCACCAUCUUCAGGCUCGAUGGCAGAGUCGAGUGCUGCUAGACAGUUACUCAAGCUCCAUUCUGUGAGGUGCGUUUAUAUAGCUUAUUUUUUAUCUUUAUUUUUGUUCAUUUUUAUUAUCAUGUAUAAUUUAUUCUUUUUUUAAAAAAUAGUUUCAUUAACCAAACACUUAUUCGUCCAUGCUAUCAAAGAUUUCUCUGCAUAAAUUGGAUAUUGAUGGCCAUUCAUGGAAGACAAUGCCUUAAGUUACCGAGGAGUACCAUUGGCAGGAGUUUCACGUAUAAAAUUGUUUAACUAAUACUUGCGUUAUGAUUAUGUUUUGUUAAGUUGCUUUAAUACUAAUUGAUUUGGGGGUUGUAUAUAUGUAAUUAUUUUAGAAGUGUUUAUUAAAUUAUUUUAAUAGGACAAACCCGUUCUACGAGGGUAUAUAUUCAUUCCACUAAGGAGAUCCUGUCGAACUUUAUCAGUCUUUUCUGCUCCUAACAAUUUAUUAUUUCAAAUAAAUUUCAACUAAUAAGUUUUGUUUUUGUUUCUGUAAUCAAAAGCACUUUUUAUAGCAGCCUUAGCUCAAGACCUAGAUUCGUAAGAGGUGGGAAUUGCAAGCAGGUACCCGAUACACGAAUAAUUUAUCGAGGUGGAGGAGAUCCGGUAAGAGACCUUUGACUAUCCCACAGUUGGCAGCAAGAAUGGUCCAAACUUGAGUUUAAAGCUAAGUGUGCUACAAAAUUGAAGAACUGACUUAGCGAGGCAGGCGAUCUUAAUAUGGUCCCUCAAGCCAUACUAGAGAUUUUAUCUCUAUGGUAAAGCGUACUAGAAUGGUUAAAGAAUUAGGUCGAGAGCUAGACUACAUCGAGGUUUUUGAAGCUACCCACACGAGCAAGAAGAAUAAAGACUGGACUGAUAGGAGGUCUAAGGAAGUACCUGAUCGCUAACAGGCUUUAAAGGAGAAAGCUAGUCAGCCAUAAGACAGUUCGACGAAGACGUAGGAGCCAAACCUGAAGCAGUUAUUCUUAUAGACAUCUAGUGGAGAGAAGAAGCGCGGAGUGUACGGCAUGGGUGCUAGAGCUCCAGACUUCUAUAACAGUUCCUCCACCUCCACUGUUGCAUCUCCAAGUUUAGAUAUCCAGCGUAUGCAAGACGCUAUUCGUCAGGAAUCGCAGUAGGAGCUGCAACAACAGAUAGAGGAGUAGCGCACAACUAUAGAGGCACAGAGGGUCUCGACGGAGCGGCAGAUGCAUGAGCAAAUAUAGAAGCAGAUGGAGGACAUGCGACACCUUAUUGUGGAGAUAGCACAUUCCAGCGAGCUUGUACCUCCGGACUAUGCUCCAUCUACCUCUAAUCCUGAUCAUUGACCUACUAACUCACUUUUUUCUAUGUUUUUAUAAUUUUAACGGUUUUAUAUAUUGAAUAUAUUUUAUGAUAUUAUUUUUUGUAUUCGAAUUCUUUUUAUCUAUUUAUAUAUACAUUCUUUUCUCAUAUUUUUCAUUAUUAUUUUUUUAUUACUGAUGGAUUAGUGACGGAUAUUAAUAAAUAGUUUUAUUUAAAAAAAAAAAAUUAGCGAUGGAGAGCAAAAUUUGUCGCUAACUUUAAUGCUAAGUGAGGGACUACAUCUUGCCAAUCUGUUAUUAAUUAGCGAUGGAUGUUAAUCCACCGCUAUUGUUCUUUUCGUCAACGCGAGAAUGUCUCUCACUAUUGUCAUGACAAAUAGCGAUAGAUUACCAUCCAUCAUUAAUGGCAAGAACAUAGCGAGGGGUUGUUUCUUGCUCUUUAGUCAGUGAUAUGUGUUCGUCGCUAUUCGAUUAACAUUAGCGACAGUGUGAUCACUCGCCCGUCCAUCACUAAUAGGAGUAAGUUCAUUGUUAAAAGUUCAAAUCCUCUCCACCGCUUAGCAACAACACUCUCUUGCUAUAACAACAAAAAUAAAGUAUCCAUCGCUAAACGAUUAACAAGGAUUAAUAUAUUGACAGAAUAAUUCUGUUGUAAGUCCGUUGCUAACUAGCAUUACUGACAGUUUCACCUCCCGUAGCGACAGUUUUCAUCCAUCGCUAAACCACAGAUUUUCUUGUAGUGUUAUACUCACACAAGAGAAGCUCAAAUUAAGUUUCAAACAUACAAAAUAAAUCUAGACUGGUUAUUUAUAAAAAAAAAAAAAAAAUAAUAGGAAUCUAGAUUAUAAAGAUGUUAUUAUCUAUUGCCUAAACGAUAAAUUGAUAAUUAAAUAGUUGAAGUUUGAUGGUUGUUUGAGAGAAAUCCUAAAGUUUGAUAACAACUAAUGUUUUCUCUAAAGUUUGAUAACAGCUAAUGUUUUUACCGGAGGCGAAAAAGAAAUAUUAUUUUUUCUAUUCAAUUUGGUACAGUGAAAGAAAUAUUUGGUACAGUGAAGCAAAUUCAGCCACCUUAGUUAUUCUUCUGUUAGGUGCGUGUGAUUUUAUAUAAAACAUGUCGUGAUUUUAGUUCUUCUUCUUGCG